CGGUUAAACCCGACUCUCCUCAACCGCAGCUUUUCGCCUUUUCACUCAGCUGCUAGAAGCCUCACGUGACACCCCCUACCCCCGCCCCAAAAGCAGCUGCUGCCAGCCUCAGACAGUCUCUGCAGUACUGCCGGGCCCAAGAUCCCAGCCGUGUGGAAUGAGGGGCCGAGCUUGGGACAUCUCUGCCGGAAGUGAUGUCACGCCAAGGGGACCCGCCCGCCGGAGGCGCGACUGGAGUUGUCCCACCGGGCGCUUCGGUAGCGAAGAUAAAGCUGGGAUUCUUGAUGGACACUGUGCCUAAGCAUGGAGGCAACUGCAGGUUUCUGGCCAGGGUCACUCUCUGGUGAAAAUGAAAGGUCCAUGUGGAAACACCUGACUGCCACCACCUGGUUCAGAACUGCUAUGGUGAUCUGAAAUAAAAAUAUAAUAAUGGCAGUCUUUUGAUUAAAA
rnacentral:lncRNA from 13 species